ACAGUCCGCCAUCUUGCCAUUCCUCGUCCUGACCAGAGAAAGACAAAUAACAAUUAUUCCACUGCAGACGCGCGAGAAAGAUGUGAGGUUUGACAUUAUAAUACAUUUACUUCAGGACAGACAAGUCUGACAUGACUGACAUCAGGUAUCUUCAGGACCCUCAGCUGACAAUGGCCGUUAGUGUGUUACUCUCACGAAAACCUCAGGGAGGAGGUGGUAGACAGAGUUGUAGAGGCGGUGGCGGGGUCAAAGUUUACCUACACGCUGUGACUGAUGAACAGGCGACACUACUUACAGAUACAGUGAACACCCUAGAGGAG